rnacentral:misc_RNA from 1 species
GCAGGGUAAAUUUACGAGGCCAAUAUAACCUCAAUUGCAGUCAUUAUCAUCACUAUCUUUCACCAUGGUAUUCAUGCAUAUUCAAGCAUACUCUAAGAGCACACAUACAUGCUGCCCAUUAUAGCCUCUCAAAGAUCUCUAGUUUAACUGGGCAAACUCCUACUAAACCUUUACAAAACAAUCCAACUCAGAUGAAGAUUAUUCUACAACAGAGGUCAAAGGAUUACCAUUUACACAAGGCAGCUUCAGUUUGUAAUGCUAAAAUGCUAGAUCUAAGUAAACUUUGUUACAAUUGCUAACUGUUAAAACAAUGUCAGAGUCCAUCAACUUCAGCAUCAUCACUGUUGACACCAUCAUCGUCAGAAUCAGAAGAGUCACCCUUGGCAUCAGUUUGCAGAUCUUGGAGCUUAUUAAUAGCAUAUCUUGCAUCAGAAACCAAGGCAUUUUUUGCUGCUCUAACCACAUCUACUUUCUGAAUGUUGACCUGCCCACUAUUCUCUUUUCCUACUUGUGCACACGCUGCCUUUCUCUUAGCUUCUCUGCAAUGUAACUGGUCUAUAUAUUUCUCAUGCAAAGCCUGGUUUUUCACCUGCUUCAAUACCGGGGGACUAACAAGAUCUGUCUCACAUGAACUUCUAAAUCUAGAGAGAGGCUUUUUCUGACCAGAAGAAGAUCUCUCGUGGCACUUCUGCAGAAAUCCCUGUUUUUCUUGUGAAUGCUUUGGGGUAGAAACAGCGUUUUUCAUCUGAGUAUCUUGUCUGGAAAGAUUCACAUUGGGCUCAAGGAUGGAGAAUAGGUCUGCUUCAUAAUUCUGGUCCGCGCGAUUAUGCUUUUGCAGCAAGUGUCUGGCAGUUUUCAGUGCAAUAUGACUCUUCUGUUUAUGACAACUUAACCUUUUAACCUUCAGCUCAGAGGAGCCUAGCAAUUUGCCUGCAGAAAGUGAAAAACAUCCAAGAGGUGAUGAGUUCAUUCUCUUUGCCCUUGAUCGAGGCAAAGGUUGAGGUGGAGUUAUAUGGUCUGAGUGGAUCUUCUCAAAGCAGUCCUGUGCGGUCUUUCCAGGCACCAGUUUAGAAACCUUCUUCCAGAAAUGAGGAGUGGGCUUGACUCCAAAAUAAGCUCUCUGCAAUGCCACUUCUUGCUCCUUUGCCCACCCUUUAACACUUCCAUAAUUACCUUCUUCUACCCUCUUCCUCUUCCCAAUAACCCUAGUCUCUUUGCUUCUUCCAAGAACAAUUUUUCCUUUGGCUGCUUCAAGUGCUAUGACCACUUCAACAUUGGCACAACUCUGAGUCCUCCUUUCGUUUUUGUGCAAAAUCUCAUCACAUGAACCCACAUGCACUUCCCCUUUUUCUUUAUUUAACAAAAGCGCCUUAUUAUCUGUAGAUAUAUUCAAAACGCGAUCGAUUGAUUUAUUUGAAGCAGAAUGUCUGAGUUUCUUCGACUUAUUAUCACUACUCUUCUUCAACUUGUCUUGGUCACUCUUCUCUUGAAUGGCAUUAGUGUUUCCCAGCAAAGAAAGCCUCAAAGAUCGCCUAAUAUUGGAAACGCCUUCCACCCUCUUACUAAACCUUGGAGAUCUUCUCAACCCAAGAACGGGAGCCGCGCAAAUUGAGGACCUUCCAUCGGAUUUUCCCAGUUCCUUUGAAGCUUUUUGCGUGUUAUCUCCGUUAUUGUUUGAGGGUUUUGGGUUGUUAGCAUUCAGAUCAUGGGGCUUUUGAUGGAGAAUUCUCUUAGAUCGACGGAGAGGACUGGUUAGCUCGUGCUGUGUGGCUGUAGGUUUUCUGGAGCUUCUCUGUUUUGGCAUUUCGUAGAGCUAUUGGUGGGUGUUUCUUGUUUCUUGC